CUGCGUUAUGUUAAGAUACAUAAGAAUGGUAUUUUCAAUGAUUUACGUGUGUUGUGUGCUUGUUUUUUCACAAAGUGCACAGCCAUUUGUUCAAGAAGGAAACAUAGGUUCACUUGUUAUCAAAGUUUUUGAUAAAAUAGGGCCGUUGCAGUGUUUGAAAAAGUGUUUACACCAUAAAAACUGCAAAGAAACAAACUACCACAAACAAAAUUUACAGUGCGAGUUAUAUACAAAAUCAAAUCCGAAUAAAUCGAAAGACAAAUCAGGAUUUAUAUCU
rnacentral:lncRNA from 1 species